rnacentral:tRNA from 1 species
GGAUUGUAGCUCAGUGGUAGAGAACUUGCCUAACGUGCAUGAGGCCCUGGGUUCCAUCCUCAGCACCA